AGCGGGGCAGCCGGGCGGAGGGGGAGCAGCACCUGGUGAUGGGGCCCGCUCGGGCACGAAGGACUAUUUUCCCAUUCUCCUUACACACAGAACUCUCCAGAAAGGGGUCCGGAGAAGCGGAGGGAUACGAUUCAGGGAGGGGGAGUGAAAUAACUUCUCGCGAGAAGAGAAAGAAAGAGGUUCCGGGAGAGAGUAUAAAACCUCACCAGCAGACCUUUCAGCUCUGGCACCCACUGGAGAGGAAACAGAGGAACAGACCAGUUUUCUCCUUAAGUUUGAGCUUCCCGCUCUCCCUCAUGACAUUGGCAGCUCACUGAUGAGGAACUAGCUCCUGGAUCAAGGUAGAGCAGCCAAAGCGAAACCUUUCCAACCCAAUGGAUGAGGCACAAGCCAUGCCUGCUCCCUCUGGAGAGACACGGCCUCCGUCUCCUGUGUGGACCUUUCUCCGCCCUCCUCCUCUCCUCUUACCUGAGCAGUCAGUGAGGGGCGACUUCCCUGCACUGAGGCUCUGUGGACCUGGCUGCGCCAGAGAAAGGCCGUAUUCAAAAUGGCCAGGGGAAGACGAGCACAAUACGCUGUGGACUUAUUGGCCAAGAUGGUCCUCUCUCUUCCCUCCAGAAGUGGGAUGAAGGGGAUUUGCUGAGCGGGGGAAGAGACCAGCUAGAGUGAGAACCAAACUUGAGAGCACUUUUCCUGCCUGGAAUUCUGCUCCUCUGCAGAGAAAGCGCAGAAGAAGUCAGUAGGGCCCUGCAGUGAUCGAGAGCCGCCUCCUCUGUGUGUCGUCUUUGUGUGUAUUCCAAGACCUAUUUGCUGCCCAGUCUUGCUGUGCUAAGCCGGAACAAUCCUUCACUAAGUAUUUAUACAGUACCUUGCACAACAGGGCCACAAUAUACAUGUAGAAUAAGAAUAGGGAGGUCUCCCUACUUUUUACUCCUGUUACAUUCUGGAAAGCCAACAGAGUUGGAGUCUAUUCUGGUUCUUGCAUCAUCAAUAGAAUUGUUAACUACAGAAAGUUCCUCUGUGCAAUCUGCAGGAUUCGGAUUUCAGAGCCAGAAAAAACCACCCUGAUUUGACUCUCAGCUCCUGAAGAGAGGGGGUUUGCAGGGUCAGCAAUUAGGGGUGCCAUUUCGUUUGCUUGGGAACGAAACAAAUUCAAUUUAGAGACACUGAAACUUGGUGAGCUUGGCGCUCCAUGCGGCCAUUAUUACUGUCACUUUUCAGAGCAGGCCAGUAAGUCACAAGUCAAAACCAUCAUAAACCAAUAAUAAUAUUUCUCUAUCUUAUUUACUACAUAUUUUAGAGAGUGCGUGCAUCUGUGUAUCCAUCCAUCUGAGAGUCCAUUUCUUCAAGAACUUCUCCUAAAUGCUUCCACGGCCAUGGAGAGGCAUUUCUCACCUGGCCCCCCGCUACUGUGGUGAGAAGGGGCUGGGACUAUCCUCUCUCCCCGGAACAGCCUGAAAACGGAACCCCUCCUCUCCUGCCGCACCCCAGAACAAUGAUUUACAUGAAAAAAACCAAAACGUUUUUGAGCUGAGGACCUGAGCGGCGCUGGAUCAAGAAAGAGGGGAAGAAAGGGCUGAGACGCAGACUCGUCUAGGAAUGGCCAGUGCCUGUUUAUCUCACAGACGUCUUCAGCUUCCCACGCAGCUUUGCAAAGACCCAGUCCCUGGGCUAUGGAUUGCCGGCGCAGCCACAGAACACGAGGGGCCGUGGUUCUCAGCCAAGGGUGAACCUGUCUGGGCGGGAAGGUGGCAGGGCAUUCAUCACUGGUGCGGGCUGCUGGUUUCAUUUUCGUUCUCUGUGCUGCUCUUCCCAAUGAAUCACUGGGCUCUGAAUGCGUCCCUACAUGCCCCCACCGUGGGUACCUUCCUGCAGAGAUCUCGGUUGUGCGGCAGAGUGACGGGCUCCAGUGUCUGCCCUCGCCUCAAAGCACCAGGUGCAGUUGUCUGAGCUGGCACAGAGCCCAGCACCAGAGCAGGAGACGUCAGGGCAGCAUCAAGAACCACACUUCACAGAUGUCUCAUGAGAUGGAAAGACCCAACGUCCAAAUCCACCCCCUCCUCCCCAAACCUCGGGAGAGAAAGGAUUACUACAUGGCCUACCUCGUCAUGGCCGUCUGCGUCUUUAUCCUGUACCUCCUAGAGCAUCCCUGGAACUAUAUGGCCGAGUAUCUCACCCUCCACGUCACGGCCCAGCUGAUCAGCGCACUGCUCAAAGGGUUUUGCAGCUUUGCCGAAGAGAUCUGGCACGUGUCAUCCAGGUGACUGAGUUUCCAGCCCUCUGCUCUUGAGAGCCAUGCUC